GAUAAACCCAGAGGAAGGCAGAACAUACUGAUCUCCAGGGCAUAUCCAGCUUUCAGCCUUCUGCAUUCAGAUUCAAGAUGGGAUGGGAUGUCAGCACCAAAUGCGUCAUCUUGUGCAGAGCAGCACCCAUCUGCUGGACCCUGGACAUGGCUCAGGUUAAUUUUACACAGCCCCAGCAGCUUCCAGCUUCAACAGAGGCACAGGGCAUCUUCUUCCCAGCACACAGGUUCAGUUUGUUGGUUAUUGCAGCCUUCUGGAAACUGAGGAUGUGAAUCUGAAUGGUGUUACAGAAGCAAACAUCACCCGCUUCUUUUACCUCCUGUGACACUGACCUCUAAGCUGAAAGCAAUCAUUCAAAAGGUGACCAUCUCAUUUUCUGUACUUCAGAUCACAAGAACAAUCCUGGAAAAAAGCAUGCAAGUACUCAUAUGCAAGCUCUACAUCAUGAGAAGAAGGACAACUACCUGGAGUCCUGACUCAGCAAUUGCAGCACUGGGAAGGGGCAGGAUUUCAUACUCUUUCCCAGGGUUGCUAACAUGUCCUACUGCUAGCUCCGGGCUGCUCGCCUCCCAGAACAACCUGGUUUUCAGGACAUCAGCUUGAAAUGGUUCAACUCAUCCUCUAUGUAGUAAAACAAACUUCCCUUGUCUUUAGCCCUAGAUGAGAUUUCAGGAUGCAUUUUGGAUAAAGACAAAUGACAAGGCUUACUACAGAGGUAAAUGUGUGCACUUCAAUGGGCUUUGAUAUAUGUGACAGACUAGAAUAUCUAAUUAUUACCUAUUAGCUGGUUUUGUUCUCCCCUGUGAACAGAAGGAUAGUGUACCACAUUUCUUUUAGAAACUGAUGUUAUAUUUUAUACCAAAAAAGGAAAGCAUUACAUAAUCCCAUACAAGACUAAAUCUAUCAAAACGAAGAUCUGCAUCUGAAGCAAUUAGUUACAAUUGUACAGGCAGCAACAAAUGGAACUUUCCCAAGCUGGCUGUAGAGAGGUUACGCUUGAAUUGUUAAGACUCUAAAUAAACAAGACCACUUCUCUAUCACUAAAUUUCAAUUGGAUGUACAACUAAUAAGUUUUACAGCUUUGUAAGCAUCCUACUUAUUUAGAAGUCGCACUAUGAAAAGGUGUGCUUUUGGAUUUAAUCUUUUUUCCAAUCAUUAACUAUCUUCAUUCAUUUGCAUAACUACUACUUGUGAAAAUAUCACAAGAUCAGUUUCAAAGACAUGCCCAAGCAAAGCUGUGAACUAGUAGCCAAGCAGAAUUUUUACAGGAUGGUGCAAUGUUUGGCAGCGGUGCUUUGAUUUCAUAAUUGGUAAUGGUAAAGGAACUACUGAAAUACCAAGUGUCUAGACUGGUAUCACCAUCAGAAUGAAAACCACUAAACUUGGUACUUCAUAAAACAAAGGCAAACUCCACCCCUCUAUUCUGUAAUUUAAACUAAGAAAUGAAAGCUUGGUUAUGCAACUGAUCAUGAUGCCUCCUUCCCACCCAAGCAAGCCCUUGCAUUAACACUUACUCAAGCGAUAAUCUAACCUCCUUCCAAUAUUCUUUGCUGAUCCAUCAGUAAAAACACCAUAGUAUUGUGUUUCUCCAGUGGCAAACGGCUGCUCCUUACCUACAAAACUUUUAAGACAUUGCAGUCUAGGGCUACAUACAUAGAAAGAUGAAAUUUUUAAGGUCUGAAGGGUCUUUUUCAUAACAUGUUAUCAAGGAUGCAUGCUGAGUCUAGAACAAAAUUUUUCAGUCUUCAGCAUUAUGUAGAAGCUACAUUUGUCUUUGUAUACACAGAUAGAAGAGCCAAGCCAAAUCAUGUCCUCUGCUUACUCUGGGCAAAGGAUAACGCUGCUUCCUCCUUAAGUUUUUCUGAUGAUGGGUAACUUACUUGUUGCAAAUGGUCAUCUGUGCAGAAAUUACCACACCUUACUGAAAAAUCCUCUUCCCUAACUGAUCUAGGGAAGAAAUGAGUUGUAAAGAAGAGCAGCUUGGAGGUCACAGUCUUCUUUCAUAAAGGUGCUAACAGAACAAAGUGUCACAACUCUCUCUCUUCACCAUCAUCAUCCCAGAAGACUGCAGAGCAGGGUACAGUUACAUUCUGUAUCUACAACUCUUCUAUCAGGAUUUUCGCAUGGAAAAAGCCUCAGUUCUGCAUAGCCAUAAAAAUGCUAUGACAAAUAUCCCUUACAGAAAUUGGAACAGUAAUAAACUACUGCAAAUUGAAGUUUUCUGUUAACAAGAUUUUAGUAAAAAAACUGCUGUUGUUUUAUAGUGUAUCCAUAACUGCAAGAAACGCUGUUUGCAGGUUACUCUGGAAAGAAAAAAUAAUCACAACACAUAUGACAGCAAUCACUGAGACUACUGUUAGUAAUCGUGGUUCUUUUCACUCAUUUACUCUGAGAAAAGCACUUUGCCAUUCCAUUAUUAUUCCACUACUCCAUACAAAUCAAAUGCAGCCCCCCAUCCUACACCACAGCUACAACGUUUCAGUUACUUGACUUUUUUUCCAUCUCACUCUGGAAGCACAGCAGAAAAUGCUGUUAAACAGCACAUCCCUGAAAGAUCUUUGCUGGCUCUGGUCCAAAAUACUAAAUUUGCCACUUUUAUACUUCCCCCACCAACUCACUUAGAAUUUACCUUUUUCCAUGUAGAGGUUUUUUUUUUGUCUUGUUUCCUAAUGAUGUAAAUCUGGGCAUGCAACUUUGCUCUGCAUUCCCAUUGUUUUUCACUUGAUUUCAUACACAUACAGCAAGUAAGACUUUUAAUUCUUUUUUAAUUUACAGUAUUGAUUUCUCCAAAUUAUGCCUUACUGUUGGUACACAGUAAAUACAUUCUUCUGAACAACUCAGUAUGAAAAAAAAUGCAGAUAAAACAUUAAAAGUACUGCUUUACAAUGUGCGAAACAGAACCUUCAGAAGUAAGGAUGGUGGCUACAGCCAGGCACAGAGGAAGACUGCUUGAUUUUGUCUUUCAGUCUACCAGCACAUUCAUUCCUGCAUCCCUUCAUCUGAAACUUCCUGUAACAAUGGAUUCUAGGUGAAUGUUUCUGCUAAAUUAAGAAGAUGAAGUAACUCUCAGCUUGGCCACUAGCACUCGUAUUCCCAGAACAGAAUGCUUUCUCUCACACUAAGAAUGGCUGCUACCAGUAGAUUUACUGAGCAAAGGGCACCAAUAACACAUCAAAACUGGAGAUGUUUCUGAAGGGGAGUUAUACUCUACAGGUGCAUGCAGCUGUCAAAGUCUGGAUGAAUUAGUUAACAUGCUUCCCCUAGAUAAAAGACAAGUGGCCGGGCACAACUGGCAGUUCACAAAUAGUACUUAAAUCAGAUGAAAUGUGGUUUUUUUUUACAGGCUUUAGAUAGAUUAAUACAUAUUGCAACACCUAGCACGGAUUAAAUUUAGAAAAAUAUUACACUGGGAUUGGGAUUUUUUUAAAUAGCCUUUGUUGUUUUGUUGUUAACGUAACAGAAGAUGUAUGGCAGAAGAUGCCAAAAAGGACCUUGCUUUUUGAUGUUAAAGAACUGAGCUGUCAAAGCUAUUAUGCUGCUGAUGAUUACUCAUUUGAUUAUUUACAUACUUCUUUUAAACAAUGAAGAGGCAGGAAAUGUUUAUUAAUUUUUUUUUAAUUUUUAUGAUCAAGGAUGACUGAACCCAAUUACAUAGUCUUUGUUAAGUUAAUGGCUGCCAAACAAGUGUGUACUCCAGUGACCCACCGUGAGCAAAGUUAUCUGAUGGGUAAUUUUAAGGUUAGACACAGUACAUGUAAAAAUAGAAAGUUUAAAAACCAAUCACAGACAUUUCCAUAGCCA